rnacentral:rRNA from 1 species
UACGUAGGGUGCAGGCGUUAAUCGGAAUUACUGGGCGUAAAGCGUGCGCAGGCGGUUUGCUAAGACAGGUGUGAAAUCCCCGGGCUUAACCUGGGAACUGCGCUUGUUACUGGCAGGCUUGAGUGUGGCAGAGGGGGGUGGCAUUCCACGUGUAGCAGUGAAAUGCGUAGAGAUGUGGAGGAACACCGAUGGCGAAGGCAGCCCCCUGGGCUAACACUGACGCUCAUGCACGAAAGCGUGGGGAGCAAACAGG